AACGCACGAGACCUGCGGACCUGCGGAAGGAUCAUUACCGAGUUUACAACUCCCAAACCCAAUGUGUACGUUACCAAACUGUUGCCUCGGCGGGAUCUCUGCCCCGGGUGCGUCGCAGCCCCGGACCAAGGCGCCCGCCGGAGGACCAACCAAAACUCUUAUUGUAUACCCCCUCGCGGGUUUUUUUAUAAUCUGAGCCUUCUCGGCGCCUCUCGUAGGCGUUUCGAAAAUGAAUCAAAA
rnacentral:misc_RNA from 1 species